CAACACGGGAAACCUCACCCGGCCCGGACACGGACAGGAUUGACAGAUUGAUAGCUCUUUCUCGAUUCCGUGGGUGGUGGUGCAUGGCCGUUCUUAGUUGGUGGAGCGAUUUGUCUGGUUAAUUCCGAUAACGAACGAGACUCUGGCAUGCUAACUAGUUACGCGACCCCCGAGCGGUCGGCGUCCCCCAACUUCUUAGAGGGACAAGUGGCGUUCAGCCACCCGAGAUUGAGCAAUAACAGGUCUGUGAUGCCCUUAGAUGUCCGGGGCUGCACGCGCGCUACACUGACUGGCUCAGCGUGUGCCUACCCUACGCCGGCAGGCGCGGGUAACCCGUUGAACCCCAUUCGUGAUGGGGAUCGGGGAUUGCAAUUAUUCCCCAUGAACGAGGAAUUCCCAGUAAGUGCGGGUCAUAAG
rnacentral:rRNA from 1 species